CCCGCGCCAGGCCUGCGGGCUGCGCGCGCAGCCCAGGCUCCCGCCCGCGCCUCCCACUCCACACCUCCCAGCCAACAGAGGGAGCCGGCUGGCUGCAACCUCGGCCAGCCCCACAGAGGGAGCCCCGCAGACGGGCCCCCACAGCGCAGCUGCCAACUGAAGGGCUUCUCGAGGGUGGCCAGAGCUGAUGCCAAGGCACAGGCUCCAAGAGCGAGUGAGGGCUGCUAACACAUUGUCACCUUUCAAUGAGUCUGGCAAAACAGAGUUUGGAACUUCUCCAAGGGAGGCUGAUCCCGGGUGCACUGUGGCAGGUGGCAGUAUAGACUUUUGUGAAGCAGCGGUGUGCAGUGAUAUGAGCAGCAGAUGAAGAAGGAAGGAAAUGAAGUCGCUCAAUUCUAAUACGGCAUUAUUACUCCUAUAUUUGGAAUCAACAUGUGGAAUUCCUAGGUGUGAGUAACUCAUUGUGCUGUG